rnacentral:rRNA from 1 species
AUUGAACGCUGGCGGCAGGCCUAACACAUGCAAGUCGAGCGGAUGAAGGGAGCUUGCUCCUGGAUUCAGCGGCGGACGGGUGAGUAAUGCCUAGGAAUCUGCCUGGUAGUGGGGGAUAACGUCCGGAAACGGGCGCUAAUACCGCAUACGUCCUGAGGGAGAAAGUGGGGGAUCUUCGGACCUCACGCUAUCAGAUGAGCCUAGGUCGGAUUAGCUAGUUGGUGGGGUAAAGGCCUACCAAGGCGACGAUCCGUAACUGGUCUGAGAGGAUGAUCAGUCACACUGGAACUUAGACACGGUCCAGGCUCCUACGGGAGGCAGCAGUGGGGAAUAUUGGACAGUGGGCGAAAGCCUGAUCCAGCCAUGCCGCGUGUGUGAAGAAGGUCUUCGGAUUGUAAAGCACUUUAAGUUGGGAGGAAGGGCAGUAAGUUAAUACCUUGCUGUUUUGACGUUACCAACAGAAUAAGCACCGGCUAACUUCGUG